GUUGAACGCUGGCGGCAUGCUUUACACAUGCAAGUCGAACGGCAGCGCGGGGCAACCUGGCGGCGAGUGGCGAACGGGUGAGUAAUAUAUCGGAACGUACCCAAGAGUGGGGGAUAACGUAGCGAAAGUUACGCUAAUACCGCAUACGAUCCAAGGAUGAAAGCAGGGGACCGCAAGGCCUUGUGCUCCUGGAGCGGCCGAUAUCUGAUUAGCUAGUUGGUAGGGUAAAGGCCACCAAGGCUACGAUCAGUAGCUGGUCUGAGAGGACGACCAGCCACACUGGAACUGAGACACGGUCCAGACUCCUACGGGAGGCAGCAGUGGGGAAUUUUGGACAAUGGGCGCAAGCCUGAUCCAGCAAUGCCGCGUGAGUGAAGAAGGCCU
rnacentral:rRNA from 1 species